AAGUCGUAACAAGGUUUCCGUAGGUGAACCUGCGGAAGGAUCAUUAACAUCUUUUGAAUUGGUGGUGGUGGGUGUGAGUUUCAUUAUUGAGAUUUCCACUCAUCAUCCUCAACCCCAUUGUGUGCAUGUAUGUGUUGUGUCGUGAGUUGGUAGAGCCUAGCUCUACUUAUCUCUUCACUUCACCUCACCUCUCACUUUUAACCCCAAACCCCUUCUUCUCAUCACACUAGACUGACUUUCAAUCCUCGUUUUCGCUCCCUACCAACGGAGCAAAACAUCAAUCAGCAUACAACUCUUAGCAACGGAUAUCUAGGCUCUC
rnacentral:misc_RNA from 1 species